CACUGUUAUCCACAUGAACGACGCUAAGCCAAUAACAUUCAGAUACACGGCCACGAUCAAGUAGUCAGAAUCAAAUCAUUCUGAUUUUCUGAGCAUCAGAUUAUCUUUCCAAAAUGAUAGUCCCAUGAUGUUCUCACAGUUAUCGAAACAACAAAAUAUCUGAAGAUCUCUCGUAUUCCAAAAUGUCAUUAAUGCCAGC
rnacentral:lncRNA from 1 species